GACGAACGCUGGCGGCGUGCUUAACACAUGCAAGUCGAGCGGUAAGGCUCCUUCGGGAGUACACGAGCGGCGAACGGGUGAGUAACACGUGAGCAACCUGCCCUUCUCAUCGGAAUAAGCGUUGGAAACGACGUCUAAUGCCGAAUAUGACAACGGAUCGCAUGAUCUGGUGCGGAAAGCUCCGGCGGAGAAGGAUGGGCUCGCGGCCUAUCAGCUUGUUGGUGGGGUAACGGCCCACCAAGGCGACGACGGGUAGCCGGCCUGAGAGGGUGACCGGCCACACUGGGACUGAGACACGGCCCAGACUCCUACGGGAGGCAGCAGUGGGGAAUAUUGGACAAUGGGCGCAAGCCUGAUCCAGCAACGCCGCGUGAGGGAUGACGGCCUUCGGGUUGUAAACCUCUUUCAGCAGGGACGAAGCGAAAGUGACGGUACCUGCAGAAGAAGGACCGGCCAACUACGUGCCAGCAGCCGCGGUAAGAC
rnacentral:rRNA from 1 species